rnacentral:lncRNA from 1 species
CCACAAAAGAUACUCAAGUGUCUGAUUCCCAGCACCAAAAGGCUUAGGAGCUUAACCACCGGUACAGAUCUGGAUCAUCCUGCUGACAAGGAGGCUGAACAAAGAAAACAAUCUGCAUUUCUUGCAGAAACAGGCUCAGUCCCACAGGGAGAUGAGUAUGCGGGAGGAUGCAACAGAAGCCGUGCUGUUCUGAGCCCCGCUCCUCGGGCUCCAAGUCAAAGUUUGUGCUUUCAAAUCCAAGUUUCACUCCACAGAACCCACGGCUGCUGUGCCAGAAGCUUCUCGGCAGGCAGGGCCGGGCGGAGGGCUCCUCCUGGAAUCGGGGUGGGGAGCGCAAGGCGGUCGGAAACCCGAAGAGGGGAAGAGGGGAAGAGGAACAAACCCAGCACCACGGCCGCCCAGGCGAAAUCUGUACUGGGAAGCAAAAUCUGUACUCGGGGGCAAAAUCCACGGUCGGAAGCAAAAUCCACACUCGGAAGCAAAUUCCACGCUGGGGGACAAUGGCAAGAAAAGAUUUCCUGAGGAGGAUAUUAUGUGGUGAUAGAAGAUAAGAUCUUCUCCCCUUACAAUAAAAGCCCCAAACAGCUUUGGUUUUUCUCAUUCACCCAGACAGAAGCAAACUUAAGGAAG